rnacentral:rRNA from 1 species
UACGGGGGGGGCAAGCGUUGUUCGGAAUUACUGGGCGUAAAGGGCUCGUAGGCGGCCAACUAAGUCGGAUGUGAAAUCCCCAGGCUUAACCUGGGAAUUGCAUCCGAUACUGGAUGGCUUGAAUCCGGGAGAGGGAUGCGGAAUUCCAGGUGUAGCGGUGAAAUGCGUGGAUAUCUGGAGGAACACCGGUGGCGAAGGCGGCAUCCUGGACCGGCAUUGACGCUGAGGAGCGAAAGCCAGGGGAGCAAACGGG